UGCAUAUCAAUAAGCGGAGGAAAAGAAACCAACAGGGAUUGCCUCAGUAACGGCGAGUGAAGCGGCAAAAGCUCAAAUUUGAAAUCCCCCCGGGGAGUUGUAAUUUGAAGAUUGCGUCUUGGAGGCGACCGUGUCUAUGUUCCUUGGAACAGGACGUCACAGAGGGUGAGAAUCCCGUGCGGCACGGCCCCCGGCUCCUUAUAAGGCGCUCUCGACGAGUCGAGUUGUUUGGGAAUGCAGCUCAAAGUGGGUGGUAAAUUCCAUCUAAAGCUAAAUACAGGCGAGAGACCGAUAGCGAACAAGUACAGUGAUGGAAAGAUGAAAAGCACUUUGAAAAGAGAGUGAAACAGCACGUGAAAUUGUUGAAAGGGAAGGGCAUGCCGUCAGAUUGUCAGUGUGGGUAAGAAGCGGGGUACAAAGACUGUGGAACGUGGCCCUCGGGUGUUAUAGCCGCAGUUCAUGCCCCGUCUCUUUCC
rnacentral:rRNA from 1 species